rnacentral:rRNA from 1 species
ACGUUCGGAUUGUAGUCUGCAACUCGACUACAUGAAGCUGGAAUCGCUAGUAAUCGCGGAUCAGAAUGCCGCGGUGAAUACGUUCCCGGGUCUUGUACACACCGCCCGUCACACCAUGGGAGUCGAUAACGCCCGAAGUCAGUGACCCAACCUGUAAGGAGGGAGCUGCCGAAGGCGGGAUUGAUAACUGGGGUGAAGUCGUAACAAGGUAAC